UGGGGAAUCUUGCGCAAUGGGCGAAAGCCUGACGCAGCAACGCCGCGUGUGUGAUGAAGGUCUUCGGAUCGUAAAGCACUGUCGCGAGGGAAGAUACGCCACCAGCUAAUAUCUGGUGGCUAAGACGGUACCUCGAGAGGAAGCACCGGCUAACUCUGUGCCAGCAGCCGCGGUAAUACAGAGGGUGCGAGCGUUGUUCGGAAUUAUUGGGCGUAAAGCGCUUGUAGGCGGCUUGUUAAGUUCCGUGUGAAAUCCCCAGGCUUAACCUGGGAAGUGCGCGGAAAACUGGCGAGCUUGAAUGCCGGAGAGGGUCGCGGAAUUCCCGGUGUAGAGGUGAAAUUCGUAGAUAUCGGGAGGAACACCAGUGGCGAAGGCGGCGACCUGGACGGACAUUGACGCUGAGACGCGAAAGCGUGGGGAGCAAACAGGAUUAGAUACCCCCGUAGUCC
rnacentral:rRNA from 1 species